rnacentral:rRNA from 1 species
GAUGAACGCUGGCGGCGUGCCUAAUACAUGCAAGUCGAGCGAACAGACGAGGAGCUUGCUCCUUUGACGUUAGCGGCGGACGGGUGAGUAACACGUAGGUAACCUACCUAUAAGACUGGGAUAACUUCGGGAAACCGGAGCUAAUACCGGAUAAUAUUUCGAACCGCAUGGUUCGAUAGUGAAAGAUGGCUUUGCUAUCACUUAUAGAUGGACCUGCGCCGUAUUAGCUAGUUGGUAAGGUAACGGCUUACCAAGGCAACGAUACGUAGCCGACCUGAGAGGGGGGCGGGCACACUGGAACAGGAAACCGGGCCCAACCCCCAAGGGAGGGCAGAGGGAGGGAACUUUCCGAAAGGGGGAAAACCCUGAGGGGGAAACGCCGGGUGGGUGAGGAAGGUUUUGGGUUCGAAAAACUUUGUUAUUAGGAAAAAAAAAACGUGUAAGUAACUGGGCACGUUUUGAGGGUACCAAAUAAGAAAGCCCCGGCUAACUACGG